rnacentral:rRNA from 1 species
CCCUUCGGGGUGAAGAUAAGACGGAUUAGCGGCGGACGGGUGAGUAACACGUGAGUAACCUGCCUUUUACACAGGGAUAGCCUCGGGAAACCGGGAUUAAAACCUGAUGAAACUAUCAAAUCACAUGAUUAAGAAAGUUAAAACUCCGGUGGUAAAAGAUGGACUCGCGUCCCAUUAGCUAGUUGGUGAAGGUAACGGCCCACCAAGGCAACGAUGGGUAGCCGGCCUGAGAGGGUGAACGGCCACAUUGGAACUGAGAAACGGUCCAAACUCCUACGGGAGGCAGCAGUC